ensembl:misc_RNA 7SK 7SK RNA
AGAUGUGAGGGAAAUCUGGCUGAGAUAUCUGUCAUUCCAUUGAUUGCCAGGGUUGAUUCAGCUGAUGUGGCUGACUAGGCAAGUAUCCCCUUCCUUUCUUUCCACUCCAUGUCCAUCCCUCCCAAAGCUGCACACUUGGUCAAAGAGGAUGACCGUCGACGAUAGAGGAGGACUGGCCUUCAGUCAAGGGUAUAUGAGUAGCUGCGGUCCCCUGCUAGAACUUCCAAACAAACUCUCAAGAAAUUAUUCCAGGUGAAGAUGCAAUGAAAAUUGUCGACAUGACAAUAAAGGAUUUAGAAUAUGACAUUAACUUAGUU